ensembl:rRNA 5S_rRNA 5S ribosomal RNA
GCCAGCAGCUAUAUCACCCUGCAACUCACAACAAGCAACCCACUGAAGCUCAGCAGGUGUGAGCCUGGUCAGUACCUGGAUGGGAGACCUCCUGGGGAAAACUGAGGUUGCUGCUGGAA